rnacentral:rRNA from 1 species
CGGGUGAGUAACACGUAGUUAACCUACCCUUAAGCGGGGGAUAACCCGGGGAAACUCGGACUAAUACCGCAUAAGACCACGAGUUGGGAUACUAGUGGUAAAAGGAGCAAUUCACUUAAGGAUGGGACUGCGGCCUAUCAGGUAGUUGGUGGGGUAACGGCCCACCAAGCCAACGACGGGUAGCCGGUCUGAGAGGACGAACGGCCACACUGGAACUGAGAGACGGUCCAGACUCCUACGGGAGGCAGCAGUGGGGAAUCUUGCACAAUGGGCGAAAGCCUGAUGCAGCGACGCCGCGUGGAGGAUGAAGGUUUUCGGAUUGUAAACUCCUUUUGCAGGGGAAGAUAAUGACGGUACCCUGCGAAUAAGCCACGGCUAACUCUGUGCCAGCAGCCGCGGUAAGACAGAGGUGGCGAGCGUUGUUCGGAAUUACUGGGCUUAAAGGGCGCGUAGGCGGUGGCGCAAGUCUGAGGUGGAAUGCUACGGCUUAACCGUAGAGCUGCCUUGGAAACUGCGUUACUUGAGUCGGUUAGGGGAUGGCGGAAUUCCUGGUGUAGCGGUGAAAUGCGUAGAUAUCAGGAGGAAGGUCUGUGGCGAAGGCGGCCCUCUGGGAUUUGACUGACGCUGAGGCGCGAAAACGUGGGGAGCAAACAGGAUUAGAUACCCUGGUAGUCCACGCCCUAAACGGUGGGUACUAGGUGUGGGGCCGCCGAGAGUUUCUGUGCCGAAGCGAAAGCCAUUAA